GCAGCAAGUGCUUCUACCCUCAGCCCUCCUCCUCAUGCUGUCUGCAAGGCGUCAUGGAAGAUCAUUCUGAAAAGACGCAUCUCCUAUCGCGGGCUCCAUGGAAGACCAUUUCUUCUAUUUCCAUUCAGACGGAUGUGGGCACAUCCGCUCAUACUUGCAGAGAACAAGUGUCCUUUGGCCCAAUGAGGGACCACCGUGGAAGAGAACACAGAGGGAACUGAGAGCUGGAGAAGGCGCUGUUGAGGGACACCCACCGCUUCCGGGCAUGGCAUGGCUGGCUCCUGCAGUCUUGAACCCACAGCUACUGUACUAGAAGCAUGAAGGCACACUGGGACUCCCAGACUACCCAAACAACGGACCCCAGCAAGUUAGAUGUCUCCAAGAAUCUCAAGUUAGGAAACGAAAAAGCCUGGACAAACCAGAGGGGAGCCCUCCCAGGGACACCCUCCCCCCCAGCCCCACCCCCAGACUUGUUAGACUUCCUUGCAAUGGACUGGACCUGAGAGGAGGGUCAGCGGUUGGUGGGACCACACCUUGACCACAACUGCGGUUAUGAAUACUUCUUG
rnacentral:lncRNA from 1 species